rnacentral:rRNA from 1 species
AUGUGCCUUGAGUCAUAUGGUGCCUUGGAAAGCUUAGAAAUUUCUAUUGCUAAUAUGGCAGAAUUUAUAGUUCUUCUGGGUGGAUGCGAGCGCAUGUCCCGUAGGCCGUAUGACAUUUGUCUUUACACUGACAAUUUCAUGUUCGGCCGACGCACUGAGAAGCAAAAGCUCAUGAGCUUCUUGUUGGAGAACAACAACCUUCCUGGUGAUCAUGCACUUGCAAUUCUUCCAAUCAUAGGAGGUGUUGGCAUUGGAAAGAAAACCUUGGUUGCUCAUGUGUGUGGCGACGAAAGGGUCCACUCACGCUUCUCAUCUAUUUUGCACUUGAAUGGACACAACCUCUUGACCAUACUUGACCAUGGAAGGACCAUGUUUGGGACGAUGUUGGUAAUUAUUGAAUUUGCUUCUGAUGUAGGCGACGAUGAAUGGAAAAUGUUUCACUCGUUUCUCAUAAGAAUGAGCAGAGGAAGCAAGAUCAUCAUCAUAAGUAAACUUAAAAGGUUAGCCCGGUUUGGAUCAGUGCAGCCUAUUUUCCUAAGUGUUCUGUCUUAUGACGAGUUGAGAUACCUUUUCAAGAAACUGGCGUUCAGGAGUGUAGACCCUGCAGAACAUCCAUGGCUAGUACAAAUAGCAGAUGAAUUUACCAAGGUGUUGUACAUUGUGCCAAGUACACUUCUUGCAACAAAUACACUAGCGGAUGUGUUGAGAAAGAACCUUAAUGUUCGGUUUUGGCUCUGCAUAUUGGACAAGGUGAUAAGAUAUGCCAAAAGAAAUGCCUCCACAUACGGUGUGCACCCAAACAUGCUUUUUGAAGAAGGCCAUCAUGUGGACAUAACAGAUAUUGCGCUGCAUCCACUUAGCGUGAAACGUUAUACAAUUGAUGUUUCAAUUAAGGAGGAGUCACCAAGUGUGACAAUGGGCGAACUUCUAGCAGAUCCAAGUGUUAGACCAGAAGGUGACUUCAUUCUAAUUGCAUGGGAAUCAAGGAUACCGCCUCAUAAUUUAGUUCAUCUUUUUGUCACAAGUCGUACUCAGGGUACACAUGAAGGGUAG